ACUCAAAGGAAUAGACGGGGGCCCGCACAAGCGGCGGAGCAUGCGGCUUAAUUCGAUGCAACGCGAAGAACCUUACCUGGGUUUGACAUGCAGGGUGAAACCGUUGAAAGACGGCGCUCUUCGGAGCCUGCACAGGUGGUGCAUGGCUGUCGUCAGCUCGUGCCGUGAGGUGUUGCCUUAAGUGGCGCAACGAGCGCAACCCCUGUCCUUAGUUGCCAGCGAGUGAAGUCGGGAACUCUAGGGAGACUGCCGGUGCCAAACCGGAGGAAGGUGGGGAUGACGUCAAGUCAGCAUGCCCCUUAUACCCAGGGCUGCACGCAUGCUACAAUGCGCGAUACAGAGGGCUGCGAUCCCGUAAGGGGGAGCGAAUCCCAAAAAGUCGCGCUCAGUUCGGAUCGAGGUCUGCAACUCGACCUCGUGAAGUCGGAGUCGCUAGUAAUCGCAGAUCAGCAUCGCUGCGGUGAAUACGUUCCCGGGCCUUGCACACACCGCCCGU
rnacentral:rRNA from 1 species